GUCAACAUAGUUUAAUAAAAACAUUAGGCUGUGGCUCUAAAAACAGAAGAUCCACCUUCUUGUUGACC
rnacentral:tRNA from 1 species